rnacentral:tRNA from 1 species
GGGGUUGUAGUUUAAAAAAAACAUUUAAUUUGCAAUUAAAAAAAAUUAUUAUUAAUCUUCCUCA